GUAGCACAAUGGAUAGUGCGUUAGACUCUUAAUCUAAAGGGCGUGGGCUCGAGUCCCAAUUACCU